UUUAGCUGCUUGAUCGUCGAUGGCUUUCUUGGCUUUCUAGUUUCGUUCCGCUCGUCGUGGAUCUGGCGAAACUACUGCUACUAGCCGAAAUCAGAGAUCUUUCGGGGUUUCCGAUUCUUCGUCCUUCUAAUAGUGCAUGUAUUCGAGCUCCUGGUGAUGCGGCAAUCGACCAAUUUUUUGUCUUUUGGUUAUGAUCCCUUUUUGGUCCUUUUUUUGUUUAUUAUAUUGUAUGAUAAUCGAGCAUUGAGGUUUGUGGAUCGACCCCGUGCUAGUUUUUGUUUUUUAAUUGCUCGAUGUUCGAUUUCUCUAGCAGUAACCCUUUUUUGCCAUUAAGUUUCUGGAUAUUGGUUUGAUUGCGUGAUGUUUUAUGACUUCGAUGCUCUAUUUAGGUUUUCUCUUUCUUGUCUGAGAGAUAAAUGAAGGAUUUUUUUUUCCCUGGUUGGAUUUGGGAGCAGAUGGAUCGUGAUUCCUGAUUAUCACGUUGAAGUUUCUAUCCUCUCCUUUCUAAAGCUGUAACUUUUCAUGAUAAAUUUCUCUGAUUCUUGUGAUUUAGGUAUUUAUGAUAUGAGCUUGAAGAAGGUAUGGUGAUGCUUGCUCGUUAGCCCCUUUGCAUGGCCAUGGUUGACAACGAGAGAGAGCACGCCGGUCCUCGGUCCAUACUGGAUACUAUGGUCUUGUACUAGCGUGCUCUUUCUCGUUGUCAUCCGGUUUGCCUUGUCAAGCGUCUUAUUCUUCGCCUUGUUCCGGAGUUGAUGGAUUGGUUGUAUCACUUGUUGCCUCUCCCCAGCAGUAUCUCCAGGGCCCCUAUCUUAACUAAUGAUGUUUGUUCAUCGAGUUGACAAUUGAUAUUCCAGUUCUCUCGAAACACUACAUACAAUGCUUUAGCAAUUGCUAAAAAAAAGGCUCGCGGAGUUAGCGUUAGGCCUAUCAGGAGGAUGCAGAAGGGGAUUUGUUUGCAGUGUAAGGCAAUGACUACACUUUUUGAUGGCCUAAGAAUAAAGCUGUCUUCAGUACAGGUUUCUCGAUACUCUUUGUAGUAGCUUGUAUCGAUCGAUUUUUUUCUCAUUUUGUAGUAGUUUGUUUCACUUGUAAGCUGGAACCACAGCUGAAGAAGUUACUAUGGUUCAGUUGAAACCAAAAUCUGUAUAGGUAUAGCUGAUGCAGUUGACAAUCAAGACCUUUUUUUGUUUAUAUAAUGCGGGGAAGAGAGUCUCUUACAGAUCAGAUUAGAUUGAAUGUGGUCAGAUUCUCUUAGAUAAAUAUUGUUUAUGAAUAUUAUUCCUGCAUAAUUCAUACUUUCUGUUCAUAAACAGUUGUUAAAAUUUGUUCAAGGAAUAUAAAUAAACGGUCACCAAGUCCAUAGGUAUACAAUAACACCCUGCGUAAUUUAGUAGAAUGAACAGGGGCAUCUGUGUCUUUUUACUGUUCCCCCUUUCUUCCUGCUCUUCCAUCCCAAGUUCACGGCUCGCCGUCCCGCCCUCCUCUAAGCUGUCCUUGUAUAAGUUGCUACAUGGCGGAGACCAGUUAGGCGAUCUCAGGUUAUAUUAAACGUUUCUGACCAAAUCUUGCACGGAUAAGCAAGUCCCGCUCCCUCGAUUCUAGUCGGAGACCUAGGGAAAUGGAGAUCGUUCGAACUAGAGAGAAGCGACUCAUGUUACCUCCUUGACGACGAAGUCUAAACUCUACUUUUAUCGCUCCGCGCCAGUGCUCAAGGUCCGGAAGAUUUCGAGAUAGAUCACCUCCGAGGGUAACUCCGAUGGUUUGUCUCGAGGAAAAAGACCCGAAGAGAUGGAGAAAUUGAUAAAAACUUUUGUUUGAUUGGGAUGAAUUAAGAAAAUGUUUCUUUCCAUGAAGACUUCUCUUUUCUGCUAUCCGUUCCAAAUAGAAAGCCCUAAGUCACAGAGGUCACUCAUGUCCGAGUUUCAACUUCCCUAUAAUGCUAUUAGUCGUGCCGAAUUUGAGAAAAUGGACAUCUACCAUUAGAGACACAUUGAGGGACAGGCUAGCUCCUGCGAAUCAUUGAAGCACUAACCACAGGGUAUCUGGGGCUUGAUUACUCUAGGUGAGGGAUUAGUUAGACUCUCUUGUUAAUUAAUCGAAUGUGUUCAGUAUUUCUGAUGGAGUAUUAAUUGCAGCCUAAAAAUUCUGCUGAGAUAUCUUUAAAAGAUAUUGAUAGGCUAGCUAGUAGCUCUUUUCCUCUUGGUAUGCACCAUUUUAUUCGAUAAGGUGAUGGAUCUCUGUAUUUUAAUCUGCUGUCGUCUACUUUAACCUUAGCAGCUGUAUGUGAUAAUAUACUAGUGUUGCCCCUAAAGUUAAGGGAAACUCACCAUUUAAAGCAUGGAGGAAGAAUGCAACUUGGACUUUUCUUUAAGGGUGUAGGCUUAAGAUUGGAAGAUGCUCUUCUACUCUGGAAAUCAGAAUUCUCUCAGAAGUGAGGAAAAUUUGUGAGCUGCUCUUACUAAAAUGGGGGUUGGCAGACGGUCAGUAGACGGCAUAUUGGAUAAAGUUUGGAAUCGACAUUUUCAGAUACCUUGUACAUUGUCAUUCAAGGCUAUCCACAAUGCCCCAUGCGACAGCGGCAUCAACCACCCCAAUCAGUACUGCAACGCAAGCCAAAAGUUUCUCCAGAAUAAAGGUUGAGAUGGAGAGCACUUGAUUUCGAUGCGUCUAUGGCCGACUAGCUGACCCAACUUGGUUGGCAUUAACAAAUAGCUUGUGGUGUAAACCUUGAAGUGUUGCAUAAUGUGUUGCUACUAGUCCCCAUCUUCGCCAUUCAUAUUGAGAUGAUCUUCUUUGCCACCCAUUUUCUGAAUGUUUCAUGCUCAGCUCAAUAUCUGAGGAAACAACUAUAUAUAUCUGUGUGUGUUUAGCCUCUUGAAUCUGUCUAAUAUGCUCAAUCUGUAAAGGUCAUUAUGAACUUGAAUCUGUCUAAUAUACUCAAUCUGUAAAGGUCAUUAUGAACUUGAAUCUGUCUAAUAUACUCAAUCUGUAAAGGUCAUUAUGAAAGUUUAGUCUGAGUUUUUAGAAAUACUUUGCCCUAAGUUUCAUUACCAAUCAUCAUCUCAUUUUGUAACUUCCUCCAACAUUCAUUUACAGAA